rnacentral:rRNA from 1 species
CCUACGGGUGGCAGCAGUGGGGAAUAUUGGACAAUGGGCGAAAGCCUGAUCCAGCAAUGCCGCGUGAGUGAUGAAGGCCUUAGGGUUGUAAAGCUCUUUUACCCGGGAUGAUAAUGACAGUACCGGGAGAAUAAGCUCCGGCUAACUCCGUGCCAGCAGCCGCGGUAAUACGGAGGGAGCUAGCGUUAUUCGGAAUUACUGGGCGUAAAGCGCACGUAGGCGGCUUUGUAAGUUAGAGGUGAAAGCCUGGAGCUCAACUCCAGAAUUGCCUUUAAGACUGCAUCGCUUGAAUCCAGGAGAGGUGAGUGGAAUUCCGAGUGUAGAGGUGAAAUUCGUAGAUAUUCGGAAGAACACCAGUGGCGAAGGCGGCUCACUGGACUGGUAUUGACGCUGAGGUGCGAAAGCGUGGGGAGCAAACAGGAUUAGAUACCCUUGUAGUC